rnacentral:tRNA from 1 species
UGCCCUAGUAGUAUAAAAAUUACUUUGGUUUUGUAAACCAAAAAUGGAGACUUCAUCUCCCUAGGGCA